rnacentral:rRNA from 1 species
AUCUACAGCCAUACCACCCUGAACACACUCAAUCUCAUCUGAUCCUGUGAGCAAAGCAGAGUUGGGCCUGAUUAGGACUUCGAUGGGAGGAAAAAACCACUCCCACCCGGAAAGCAUUUGAAU